rnacentral:rRNA from 1 species
GACGAACGCUGGCGGCGUGCUUAACACAUGCAAGUCGAACGGAAAGGCCCUGCUUUUGUGGGGUGCUCGAGUGGCGAACGGGUGAGUAACACGUGAGUAACCUGCCCUUGACUUUGGGAUAACUUCAGGAAACUGGGGCUAAUACCGGAUAGGAGCUCCUGCUGCAUGGUGGGGGUUGGAAAGUUUCGGCGGUUGGGGAUGGACUCGCGGCUUAUCAGCUUGUUGGUGGGGUAGUGGCUUACCAAGGCUUUGACGGGUAGCCGGCCUGAGAGGGUGACCGGCGACAUUGGGACUGAGAUGCGGCCCAGACUGCAACGGGAGGCAGCAGUGGGGAAUAUUGCACAGUGGGCGGAAGCCUGAUGCAGCAACGCAGCGUGCGGGAUGACGGCCUUCGGGUUGUAAACCGCUUUCGCCUGUGACGAAGCGUGAGUGACGGUAAUGGGUAAAGAAGCACCGGCUAAGUACGUG